rnacentral:lncRNA from 1 species
GGGGGCAAUUCUGACCCGAAUUAAUAGAUUUGGGUCAUUUUGGGUCUCUUUUAAAUUGCAAUGGGUCGGUUUGGGCUUCUUUUUAAUAACUAACGGGUCCAAUUGGGUCAUCCCCUAAAACACGGAUAUAUUUUAUGGGUCAACUUGGUUCUGAUUGUAAACUGGAACGGGUUAUGAAUAUCAGAGGCGGGUUGAAGUGUUCUGCGCAUCUAGGGUUUUUUUCACAUCGAUGUUCAUAAUUUUUUGAUUAAUUUUCAUUUGUUCAUAAAAUAGAUUGGGUUUUCCGAUCAGUUUCAGUCUUUGUUCAUAAACUCGAUUAGUUUCAGACGUUCUUCAUAAAAACGGCUAGUUUUUUUUCUAUUGAUUUAACUGGUUCUUUUAUAAAAUCAAUUAGUUUGUUCGAUUAGUUGCCGUUGUUCAUACAAUCAAUUAGUUUUUUUGUUUAAUUUUGAGUUAGUUGUUCAUGAAAUUGAUUACUUUAUUUGAUUAAUUUCACUCGUUAUUCAUAAAAUCGAUUAGUUUUUUAGAUUGUUUCAGUUGUUCUUAGUGAAAAUCGAUUAGUUUAUUCGAAUAAUAUUAGUGGUUCUUGAUAUAAUCAAUUAGUCCAUUCGAUUAAUUUCAGUUGUUUUUUGUAAUACCAAUUAGUUUAUUCAAUUGAUUUCAAUUGUUCUUCGUAAUACCAACUAGUUUAUUCGAUGAGUUUCAGUUCGAUCUUCAUUAAAUCAAUUAGUUUAUUCGAUUGAUUUCUGUAGUUAUCAUUAUAGGGAUGGCAAUGGGUCGGGUUUGGGACGGUUCUUAGUAAAAUCGAUUAGUUUAUUUGAUUAAUUUCUGUCGUUCUUCAUAAAAUCGAUUAGUUCAUCAGAUUAAUUUCAGUUCGUUCUUUGUAGAAUAGAUUUGUUUACAAGAUUAACUUCUGUAUAGCUUUUUAUUUCAGAUCUCAGUUUCAUAACAUAAUGUCAUCUCUGGAGUAACAUGUUGACAUUGUUCUUGUUGAUAUGAUCCAGUAUGCUUAAUCUAAUUUUAUAAUGCUAAAUCAAGUAGUAGUAAUAUAUUAUGUUAUUAUGAUUCUGUUAGUAAACUUCAGACAUCUUCAAUGUGAUCUCUGUUUAGAUUAGUUAACUGAUGUUUCUGCUUCUAAACAUAGUUGAUAUGAUCUUUGUUUGAAAUCAAUUUCGUUAGUUUGUAUUGUUUUUUUCAAUGAUAUAAAGAUGAUUCAUGAAUCACAAACUGGCAUGCUGAGUUCCUAUUUUGUUGGUUUGAAGUUUGUGUUUUAAAAGGUGCAGCAGAGUGCCUUAGUUGCAUGUCGUUGAGCUUCUAAAGAACGGCUUGUGACGCAGGUAUGAGGCGCGCUUCUUGUACAUUGGAUGAUUUUAUGUUAUAUAUCCAUGGAUUCAGCCUCAGCCAAUUCCACGAUUCAUGAAACAAUAAGCAUGGAUUGAUUGGUGUCAAAAAGUAUUA